UGGACAUUUAUUUUGAUUCAGUUUCUUCAUAAGGUGAAGAUAACUCUUUAUAAAUGUCCUAGAGAAAUAUAGUAGCUUUCUGUUCACCCUUUGCAAGUGAAAAGGGUGGAUCGUUCCACUACUGACAUUU
rnacentral:snoRNA from 1 species